rnacentral:snRNA from 1 species
AUACUUACCUGGCAGGGCAGACACCAUGAUCAGGCAGGUGGUUUUCCCAGGGCGAGGCUCAUCCCCUGCACUCCGGGUGUGCUGACCCCUGCGAUUUCCCCAAAUGCGGGAAACUC